GGUCUGGUGGUGUACCGGUAACACGCCUGCUUUACAUGCAAUCCAAGUCACUCGGUUUUGUAGGGAUUCCUUGUUCGACUCAAGGUCAGGCCA